GAUGAACGCUGGCGGCGUGCCUAAUACAUGCAAGUCGAGCGAACGGACGAGAAGCUUGCUUCUCUGAUGUUAGCGGCGGACGGGUGAGUAACACGUGGAUAACCUACCUAUAAGACUGGGAUAACUUCGGGAAACCGGAGCUAAUACCGGAUAAUAUUUUGAACCGCAUGGUUCAAAAGUGAAAGACGGUCUUGCUGUCACUUAUAGAUGGAUCCGCGCUGCAUUAGCUAGUUGGUAAGGUAACGGCUUACCAAGGCAACGAUGCAUAGCCGACCUGAGAGGGUGAUCGGCCACACGGGAACUGAGACACGGUCCAGACUCCUACGGGAGGCAGCAGUAGGGAAUCUUCCGCAAAGGGCGAAAGCCUGACGGAGCAGCGCCGCGUGAGUGAUGAAGGUCUUCGGAUCGUAAAACUCUGUUAUUAGGGAAGAACAUAUGUGUAAGUAACUGUGCACAUCUUGACGGUACCUAAUCAGAAAGCCACGGCUAACUACGUG
rnacentral:rRNA from 1 species